rnacentral:rRNA from 1 species
GGUUUGAUCAUGGCUCAGAACGUACGCUGGCGGCACGCCUAACACAUGCAAGUCGAACGAAGUAGCAAUACUUAGUGGCAGACGGGUGAGUAACAUGUAGGUAUCUGCCCUUUGGCCUGGAAUAACACGAGGAAACUUGUGCUAAUACCGGAUAAGUCUUUACGGAGAAAGCUUUAUGCACCAUUGGAUGAGCCUGCACUUGAUUAGUUUGUUGGUGGGGUAAUGGCCUACCAAGACUGUGAUCAAUAGCUGAUUUGAGAGGAUGAUCAGCCACAUUGGGACUGAGACACGGCCCAAACUCCUACGGGAGGCAGCAGUGGGGAAUCUUGCACAAUGGAGGAAACUCUGAUGCAGCGAUGCCGCGUGAGUGAAGAAGGCCUUUGGGUUGUAAAGCUCUUUCGUCGGGGAAGAAAAUGACUGUACCCGAAUAAGAAGGUCCGGCUAACUUCGUGCCAGCAGCCGCGGUAAUACGAAGGGACCUAGCGUAGUUCGGAAUUACUGGGCUUAAAGAGUUCGUAGGUGGUUGAAAAAGUUGGUGGUGAAAUCCCAGAGCUUAACUCUGGAACUGCCAUCAAAACUUUUCAGCUAGAGUAUGAUAGAGGAAAGCAGAAUUUCUAGUGUAGAGGUGAAAUUCGUAGAUAUUAGAAAGAAUACCAAUUGCGAAGGCAGCUUUCUGGAUCAUUACUGACACUGAGGAACGAAAGCAUGGGUAGCGAAGAGGAUUAGAUACCCUCGUAGUCCAUGCCGUAAACGAUGUGUGUUAGACGUUGGAAAUUUAUUUUCAGUGUCGCAGCGAAAGCGAUAAACACACCGCCUGGGGAGUACGACCGCAAGGUUAAAACUCAAAUGAAUUGACGGGGACCCGCACAAGUAGUGGAGCAUGUGGUUUAAUUCGAAGAUACGCGCAGAACCUUACCAACACUUGACAUGUUCGUCGCGACUUUAAGAGAUUAAAGUUUUCGGUUCGGCCGGACGAAACACAGGUGCUGCAUGGCUGUCGUCAGCUCGUGUCGUGAGAUGUUGGGUUAAGUCCCGCAACGAGCGCAACCCUCACUUUUAGUUGCCAUCAUUUAGUUGGGCACUCUGAAAGAACUGCCAGUGAUAAGCUGGAGGAAGGUGGGGAUGACGUCAAGUCCUCAUGGCCCUUACGUGUUGGGCUACACACGUGCUACAAUGGUAUCUACAACAGGAAGCAAAACUGCGAAGUUAAGCAAAUCCUUAAAAGAUACCUCAGUUCGGAUUGCACUCUGCAACUCGAGUGCAUGAAGCUGGAAUUACUAGUAAUCGUGGAUCAGCGUGCCACGGUGAAUGCGUUCCCGGGUCUUGUACACACCGCCCGUCACACCAUGGGAGUUGGUUCUACCUUAAGGCAAGGUUUUAAACCCUUGACCACGGUAUAGUCAGCGACUGGGGUGAAGUCAUAACAAGGUAGCCGUA